GGGCGCGUGGUGUAACGGAUAGCAUGCAACCUUGCGGAGGUUGUAGUCAGGGUUCAAAUCCCUGCGUGCCCG
rnacentral:tRNA from 1 species